CUCUUCUUAUUUUUUUCGUUUUUUCCACAGCAAUCACUCGUCUCCUCCCUAUAAAACAUGAAAAACAACUUUAUAUCCUCUAUCAAGACACGAAAAUGAUAUCCCUUUCAUCUCCACUGGUCUCUUUAGUGUUUUUUCAAGAAAAAACACAGGUUUAAUCUCUUUCUUUAGCCUUCCCUGCUAUGACUACCGCUACCAUCAAAUAACCAUUAACAAAUCAAGGUUGGAAUGACAGGAUGGUCAAGAAGUCAUUGUUGAUUUUUAUGAUUUUAAAAAUGAUGGAUUUAUUUAUCAUUAUGUAUCUUGUUGGUUUAUCUUAUAUUGCACUAUACUCGAGAUAUUUAAAGAGACAAGAUAUUUGGAUUAUGUUGUGUUUAAGGAGAAGAUCACGUAAAUACUAGAAAAUCAUGCUAUUAAUGAAGUCACUCAUCGAUUCAUUG